rnacentral:lncRNA from 1 species
UGUUUCCGCAUCAGUCGACAUCGUGUCAUACACAUGAGCUUUGGCAAAAUUUUUUGCGCCGACAUCGCGGAUCAUGUCCUCCAAUUUGUCUUCAUCCGGUCUAUCUUCUUCCAUGGUGGAGUCAGUAACAUUUUCAGUUUGCGAGUCAGUCGGAAAGUACAUUUCUUCGCCGUGCCAUAUCCAUGUUGUAUAACAUCUUAGGAAACCAUCACAAAUAAGAUGUUCUCUAUUUUGGGUUGCGUUCAACUUUCUCCCAUUCAAACAGUUCACACAAGGACAUCUAAACUUCACUUCAUCGUCACUUCUCCCCUCAUUACGUUGCGCAAAUUGUAUAAAUUCCUCUACACCUCUCUCGU